rnacentral:rRNA from 1 species
CCCUUAGAUGUUCUGGGCCGCACGCGCGCUACACUGUUUGAUUCAGCGAGUCUUAACCUUGACCGAAAGGUUUGGGUAAUCUUCUAAAGUCAAAUGUGAUGGGGAUCGAUCAUUGCAAUUAUUGAUCGUGAACGAGGAAUUCCUAGUAAAUGCAAGUCAUCAGCUUGCGUUGAUUACGUCCCUGCCCUUUGUACACACCGCCCGUCGCUACUACCGAUUGAAUGGUUUAGUGAGAUCUCCGGAUUGGCUCUGUAGGUCCCGCAAGGGAUUUAUUAGUAGCCAAGAAGCUGCUCAAACUUGAUCAUUUAGAGGAAGUAAAAGUCGUAACA